rnacentral:rRNA from 1 species
GAUGAACGCUAGCGGGAGGCCUAACACAUGCAAGCCGAGCGGUAGAGUUCCUUCGGGAACUUGAGAGCGGCGUACGGGUGCGUAACACGUGUGCAACCUACCUUUAUCUGGGGGAUAGCCUUUCGAAAGGAAGAUUAACACCCCAUAAUAUAUUGAAUGGCAUCAUUUAAUAUUGAAAACUCUGGUGGAUAGAGAUGGGCACGCGCAAGAUUAGAUAGUUGGUGAGGUAACGGCGCACCAAGUCUGUGAUCUUUAGGGGUCCUGAGAGGGAGAGCCCCCACACUGGUACGGAGACACGUACCAGACUCCUACGGGAGGCGGCGGUGAGGAAUAUUGGACAAUGGGUGAGAGCCUGAUCCAGCCAGCGCGCGUGAAGGAUGACGGUCCUAUGGAUUGUAAACUUCUUUUGUACAGGAAUAAACCUAUUUACGUGUAAAUAGCUGAAGGUACUGUACGAAUAAGCACCGGCUAACUCCGUGCCAGCCGCCGCGGUAA